rnacentral:rRNA from 1 species
GACGAACGCUGGCGGCGUGCUUAACACAUGCAAGUCGAACGGAAAGGCCCUGCUUUUGUGGGGUGCUCGAGUGGCGAACGGGUGAGUAACACGUGAGUAACCUGCCCUUGACUUUGGGAUAACUUCAGGAAACUGGGGCUAAUACCGGAUAGGAGCUCCUGCUGCAUGGUGGGGGUUGGAAAGUUUCGGCGGUUGGGGAUGGACUCGCGGCUUAUCAGCUUGUUGGUGGGGUAGUGACUUACCAAGGCUUUGACGGGUAGCCGGCCUGAGAGGCUGACCGGCCACAUUGGGAAUGAGAUACGGCCCAGACUCCUACGGGAGGCAGAAGUGGGGAAUAUUGCACAAUGGGCGGAAGCCUGAUGCAGCAACGCCGCGUGCGGAAUGACGGCCUUCGGGUUGUAAACCGCUUUCGCCUGUGACGAAGCGUGAGAGACGGUAAUGGGUAAAGAAGCACCGGCUAACUACGUG